UAGGUCAAUGAUGGCCACUGAUGAUGUAUGAAUCGUGAUCAUAGCUACAGGUCUGGUCGUCAGAGGUCCAC
rnacentral:snoRNA from 1 species